rnacentral:rRNA from 1 species
UACGGGGGGGGUAAGCGUUGUUCGGAAUUACUGGGCGUAAAGGGCUCGUAGGCGGCCAACUAAGUCGGAUGUGAAAUCCCCAAGCUUAACUUGGGAACUGCAUCCGAUACUGGAUGGCUUGAAUCCGGGAGAGGGAUGCAGAAUUCCAGGUGUAGCGGUGAAAUGCGUAGAUAUCUGGAGGAACACCGGUGGCGAAGGCGGCAUCCUGGACCGGUAUUGACGCUGAUGAGCGAAAGCUAGGGGAGCAAACGGGG